UACAGAGGUCCCAAGCGUUAUCCGGAUUCAUUGGGUUUAAAGGGAGCGUAGGUGGUCUUCUAAGUCAGUGGUGAAAUCUCUCGGCUUAACUGAGAAAUUGCCAUUGAUACUGGGAGACUUGAGUGUAGUUGCCGUUGGCGGAAUAUGACAUGUAGUGGUGAAAUACAUAGAGAUGUCAUAGAACACCGAUUGCGAAGGCAGCUAACGAAACUAUAACUGACACUGAGGCUCGAAAGUGCGGGGAUCAAACAGG
rnacentral:rRNA from 1 species